UCCGGCCCUCCAAUGGUCUGAGGGACAGUGAACUGGCCCCCUGUUUAAAAAGUUUGAGGACCCCUGCUAUACAGCAUGUCCCAGAGAACCCAUUGUCUUGACUAUGGGAGAAGAAAUCAGAAGACCACCCAAGAUUGUUAAGUCUUGACCCACAGUACUAAAUAAAGCAAAGCCUCAAAAUGACUCAAGGAAUCUUAGGAAAUAAAAUACCACAGUCCCUGACAUUUAUCAUUUUGGCAGCAAGAUGAACAUUUCCUAAACUUUUAGAAAUAAUUUAGGUGCCUAAUGGAAGUCGAACUUUUUAAACUUUUAAUUCUAAAGCGCCAUUGGUUUUGACUGGAAGAAAGCACUGACCCGUUCUGCCUCUUCAGGAGAUCUUCAUAGACAAGCUUGGCUAAGCAAUAUCUUUUGAAAAAGCAAGUCUAUAAUUGACUAUCCUUUGUGUAUCAGAGAUCUGGAAAACAUACUAGCAUUUCAACAGUAAUUUCCCCAUUUUUAAAAUGUUCCUGUGUACAUUACUUCAGCUGCAUUAUGGAUUAACUAGGCGCCUCUGGGUUGGUCUGAGAGCUAAGCACUGUUUACAUUUAGAUGUGAGUUCCAUAGGAGAAGGAUUGGUGCCUUUAUCCCUAGAACCCCACUCCGUAAAUGGUGCUGAGCAAUAACAGUUUAUACCGAGACAGCCAGAAAGCAACGGCCGCCUGCAAAGCUUUCAGAUGGCUACAUGUUACCGGUCUGGUACCUUUGACCUUCGAAGGGCAAUUCAUUACAUCCAUGGGGAAGAAGUAUUUUUAAAAACAAGGGUGGUGAAAAUGUUCUAAAAUCAAUUAUGGUGAUGGUUGCCCAACACUGUGAUUAUCCUAAAAGUAGUGAAUUGUCAACUUUACAUAGAUGAAUUGUAAGCAGUAAAAUGCCAGCAUAUGACUUUCUAUGAACAUGCACGUGGGAAGCCCUUCUGUAGGGGAGUAAACAGGAGAAAGAAUUGCCAGGUGGAAGGUAUGCCGAUUUUCCAUUUCAAUACUGCCAAGUUUUCCCCUCAAAGGUGCCCGUGUACCCUCCCACCAGCAGUUUACUUGCCAACACUUGACAUCAUCAAACUUUAUUUGUGGUUAAAAAAAUAUCUUCUUGUUUCAAUUUGCAUUUUCAUGACUAUUCAUGAGGUUGAACAGAUUUUCAUGUUUAAUGGCUCUUUAACAUCCUCUUAUGCAAAUUAUUCUUGUGAAGCCUUUAUCUAAUAUUUAAAUAUUGGAUACAUUAUCUUUUUCUUAUUGAUUGGUAGACAUUUUUUAUGUAUUUUAGGUAUUAAUGGUCUGUCUCAUAUGUGUUGUAAAUCGUUUCUUCUUCUGUGGCUUGUCUUAAAACUGUUUAUGGUGUCUUUUGUCAGGCAGAAGUUUUAAAUUUAGGUAUCGUCAAAUUGAUCUUUAUUUUUGUGCUCAGAAGCCCCUCCCUCUCCCUGCUCACUUUAAUUCUCUACUAUUGCCAUUUUAAAAGUCUUACAUUUUCAUUUUGCACUGGGCCCCACAAAUUAUGUAGUCAGUCCUGCUUUUAUGUUAUUUUAGGUUUAGUUCUUUAAUUACUCUGGACUUUUUCUGUGUGUGAGCAACUGUGAAGAAGAGAUUUUUUAUUUUAUUUUAUGCUUUAUUCCAAUGGACAGCCAAUUAUUUCAAUACCAUUUGUUGAGUAGUUAAUGAAAUAUGCCACUUUUAUUAUAUUUUGAAUUCUGUUUUAUUCAUUGGACUAUCUCUGGAGUCUGUGUUCUGUUCUAUGAAUAUGAUUAUCUAUUUCUGCACCAGUAUCAUCUUGCUUUAAUUAGUGUAUCUUCACAAUGUUUUUUUAUUGAUAUCUGGUAGGGCAAGACCUUUGUUCUUUCUUUUUAAGAUUGCCUCAACUAUCUUCUGUGUUUAUGCAUUUGCUUUAAUUUUUUGUACCAGCAUGUCCAAUUCCUUGCAGAUUCCAUUUGGUAUUUGUUAGGGGUUACAUCAAAUUUAUAAAUUAAUUUGGAGAAAAAUGAAAUCUUUAUAAUAUUAAGUCCUCUCAUCCAGUGAUAAGAUAUAGCUCUUCUUUAUGUCUUUCAGUAAAGUUUUAUGUGUUUUUUCAUAACAGUCUUGCAUGUCAGGAAUUUUCAAAUUGUUAUUUUGAAUGGGAUUUAUUUCUAAGUUUCUCUAAUUAAUCGUUACAAAUGUAUAUAAAAGCCAAUAAUUUCUAUUUUUCAUCUUUUUAUUUGACCUUGCUGACAUUCUGAUAGAUCUAACAGUUUGCUAGUUAGCUGUUUUAGCUUGACAGUUUAAAAAAUCUGCAAAUAAUGACAAUUUUUUUUCUUUUUUACAAAUAAUGUAUAUCUUUUUUCUUGAAAUACCACUUUGACUGGUAUACAAGCAUACAAUGAGAUGCUUCUAGGAUUUCAUCAUUACAUAAAAUAGAUUCCCAUUUUUAGGUUAAGGAAAAUUUCUCAUAGAUUCCCAUUUUCAGGUUAAGGAAGAUUUCUACUUCUAGUUUAUUAAGAGUCUUACCGUUAAUGUGUUUUUUAUUUUAUUAAUUAUUUUCUAUGUAAUAAUUAACACAAUCAUAUGAUUUUUCUCUUUUAAUCUGUUAACAUAGUAAUUGUCUUUAUAGAAUUUUCUCUUAAAACUUCCUGGGA